CGCGAGAGCCGGGGUUUUUGCCGACAUAUGAGGGAGGACCGAAAGGCGCUGGGGGGGGAGCAGAAACGGGGUUGGGUACCCCCGGGUGGUCCCAGCCCGUAAAACUAUGGGGAUAAGGGGGGCCCGGAACAUCCGGAGUUAUCCCGGGGGUGCCGAAAAUGAUAAACUUGAAAACGUUCCCCCCUGGGAAGUAACGGUUCGCAAAGCUUGAAACUAAAAGGAAUUGGGGGGGGAAGCCUCCCCAACGGGUGGGAGCCUUGCGGUUUAAUGGACUUCAAACGCCGGGCAGCUCACCGGGAUAGGACAGCGGGAAUGAUAGCCGGGGCUGAAGGCCCUUGCUUGGCCCAGCUGAGAGGAGGUGCAUGGCCGUGGUCAGGGGGGUACUGUGACCCCAUCCCUGUUUAGUCAGGCAACGAGAGAGACCCACGCCAACAGUUGGGGGGGGUGUCCCUCCGGAAUGAUGAAAAAAAAAAGAAGGGACCGCCUCUGCUAAAGAGGAGGAAGGAAUGGGGCGGGGGGGAGACAGCAUGCCCCGAAUUAUCCGGGCUACACGCGGGCUACAAUGGUCAGGACAAUGGGAAACAAAGAGAAAAAAAGUGUAGUCAAUCUCCUAAACCUGUCCCAAGUUCGGAUUGUGGGCUGCAACUCGCCCACAUGAAGCUGGAAUCCGUAGUAAUCGCGUUUCAAAAUAGCUCGGUGAAUAAGUCCCUCUCCUGCACACACCGUAAUCGUAUCCCAGCCCUUCGCGCGAGGCCGCACGCAAGCUCGGACGGAC
rnacentral:rRNA from 1 species